UGGAGGAAGCAACCCUGCACAGAGGGAAAGAAGAAUCUCAACAUACAGUCCUCAGCAGCUUUAGCAUGGGCAACAAAUUAAGUCUCUGUAAAAGGCCCAAAGGACAGGGUUUGGUGAGAUUCUGGAGAGCUGGAAACAUGGAGGUUGACAGGAAUGUAAAGAAGAACUCAUUUACAUGCCAGGAGGGUGGAACACCCCAAUUCCAUGAGGAUAACUGCUCCUGUACUCCAGACCUCACCCCAUGUGUCUCUUCAUCUGGCUGGUUAUUUGUCCUUUAAGAUCUCCUUACUCAACCAGUAAAUGUGUCUUUACAUUGUUUUAGUCUUGAACUAGAAGAUGAAAGCAUCAAAUAAAGAAAUAUACUGUGGGUAUAUGGAUUACAAAAAAAGAGAUCUGUGGAAGUUUGAAGUUGAGAAUGAUGACCUAGAG
rnacentral:lncRNA from 1 species